GGUGUGUGGUGCGUGGGUGGGGGUUGUGGGGGGAACAUGAAUCUACACAAAAACAAAUAUAAUAAGCUCCUUAAAGUUUUUUUUUUUUUGCUUGGCCGGGGACUGUUCCCCCCUCCCAACCCCCUAGUUCUACGUUGCUUGUUAUUAUUGUUAAAAUUGUAUGACAGAUUUAUUAUUCAUAUAUUGUCUUUUGGAAUUUCAGAUUUUUUUUUGAAAUUUAUCUUAGCAGAUAGGCAAUUGGAAAUGUGUGUGUUUGUGUGUGUGUGUGCGUGCGUGAUGGGAUAAUCAAGCAACGCAUCCAUUUCUUUUAGGUCCUGCAAAGCAAGUUGAACU
rnacentral:misc_RNA from 1 species